AUUGAACGCUGGCGGCAGGCCUAACACAUGCAAGUCGAACGGUAACAGGAAGCAGCUUGCUGCUUUGCUGACGAGUGGCGGACGGGUGAGUAAUGUCUGGGAAACUGCCUGAUGGAGGGGGAUAACUACUGGAAACGGUAGCUAAUACCGCAUAACGUCGCAAGACCAAAGAGGGGGACCUUAGGGCCUCUUGCCAUCGGAUGUGCCCAGAUGGGAUUAGCUAGUAGGUGGGGUAACGGCUCACCUAGGCGACGAUCCCUAGCUGGUCUGAGAGGAUGACCAGCCACACUGGAACUGAGACACGGUCCAGACUCCUACGGGAGGCAGCAGUGGGGAAUAUUGCACAAUGGGCGCAAGCCUGAUGCAGCCAUGCCGCGUGUAUGAAGAAGGCCUUCGGGUUGUAAAGUACUUUCAGCGGGGAGGAAGGGAGUAAAGUUAAUACCUUUGCUCAUUGACGUUACCCACAGAAGAAGCACCGGCUAACUCCGUG
rnacentral:rRNA from 1 species